GAGAAUUAGGGUUAAAGGGGAGGAUAGGUUAUGAAAUGAAGGGGGGAGAAUAAUUUUUUUUAAGGGUCGGAGAGCUAGCUUCAUGCUUUGCGGCGGGAAAAAAAGACAGAGGAUUGGGGUUUUUUUUCUUUAUAGGGUUUUGGGAAGACUGAGGCAAUCGUUGCUGAAUAGUCGAUGUGUUGUACUGGUGAAUCGGGGUUUUAAUGAAGUAGGUGUGAUUACUCUUGACUGUUUUAUGAAAUCGAAGUUACGUCUGUGAUUGAAGAAUUAAAAGGGUGUCUAUAGAAUUGAGUAUGCGGAGUGAAUGAAAAUUUUUGGGUUAAUCUAACAAGACAGUCAGUG
rnacentral:lncRNA from 1 species